rnacentral:rRNA from 1 species
AGAGCGAACGCUGGCGGCAGGCCUAACACAUGCAAGUCGAGCGCCGUAGCAAUACGGAGCGGCAGACGGGAGAGUAACACGUGGGAACGUACCUUUCAGUUCGGAACAACCCAGGGAAACUUGGGCUAAUACCGGAUACGCCCUUACGGGGAAAGAUUUAUCGCUGAAAGAUCGGCCCGCGUCUGAUUAGCUAGUUGGUGGGGUAACGGCCCACCAAGGCUACGAUCAGUAGCUGGUCUGAGAGGAUGAUCAGCCUCACUGGGACUGAGACACGGCCCAGACUCCUACGGGAGGCAGCAGUGGGGAAUAUUGGACAAUGGGCGCAAGCCUGAUCCAGCCAUGCCGCGUGGAUGAUGAAGGCCCUAGGGUUGUAAAGUCCUUUCGGCGGGGAAGAUAAUGACGGUACCGCAGAAGAAGCCCGGCUAACUUCGCGCCAGCAGCCGC